GACGAGCGCUGGCGGCGUGCUUAACACAUGCAAGUCGAACGGACAGACAGAGAGCUUGCUCUCUUGAAGUUAGUGGCGAACGGGUGAGUAACGCGUAAUUAACCUGCCCUUCAGAGGGGGAUAACAACGGGAAACCGUUGCUAAUACCGCGUACGAUUCAUGAACGGCAUCGCUUAUUAAUGAAAGGUGGCCUCCAUGUAUAAGCUAUCGCUGACGGAGGGGAUUGCGUCUGAUUAGCGAGUUGGAGGGGUAACGGCCCACCAAGGCAAUGAUCAGUAGCCGGUCUGAGAGGAUGAACGGCAACAUUGGGACUGAGACACGGCCCAGACUCCUACGGGAGGCAGCAGUGGGGAAUCUUCCGCAAUGGACUAAAGUCUGACGGAGCAACGCCGCGUGAGUGAUGAAGGUCUUCGGAUUGUAAAGCUCUGUUAAUCGGGACGAAAGAGUUCUGCGUGAAUAUUGCAGAAAAUUAACGGUACCGGAAUAGAAAGCCACGGCUAACUACGUGCCAGCAGCCGCCGUAA
rnacentral:rRNA from 1 species